UAAGUGAGGCAGGUAAUGCCACCUGGUGUUCAUUAGCACACAUGGGAGUACAUGUGUGUGUAUUAGUGCUUGUUUUCUGGGUCACUUUUGCCAUUAUAUAACAAUCUGUAGUCUGUAAAUAGCGUAGUUCAAAGAAGGUACUGUUUGCAGGAUAUCCAGUGGGGGCUGUUUUGUUUUGUGGUGUUUGUUUUUAAAAGCAUCACUGUCCUUUUCAUCUUUGCAUUUUUAGGGAAAUUCCUAGAAGCAGCUAUCCAGCAAGAAGGAUGCACAUCAUUGAUGAGGACCUCCUCCUAGGAACAAAGAACCAGGAAAAGAAAGCAAUCAAGGAAAAAAAGUGAGUGUGAACCAGAACAGAAAUGGAGAAAGACUGAAAAGGGGAAAAAAGUAGAAAACCUAAGAAAGCCAAAAAGCCUGAAGAUAAACAUCAAAGGUACUACAGAUGCAAACUACCCAUCAAAACCAUCACCUCACUAUAAAGAGAGCCAACAAGGACAAGACUUGCUGUACUAAAAAAGCUCUCCAUCAAAUCCAGGCUUUAACCUCUGAAACCAACCACUCAGCGUUAUCAAAAUCAGCAUCUUAAUUAUUCUUUUCUUUAAUCAGUAAUUCCCUUUCAUGACACUGCAGGGCUUUUAGGUCUUUAAACAAAUGUAAUCUUAAUUGAAUAAAGGAAUAAAAAUUAAUGGCCACUUUAAUCUCUCAGAUCACCCUCCUCCUGCAGCAGCCAGGCGUCUGUCAGCUCUCCUUAGCACUUUCCUUUUGGACAGCCUCUGGUCUUGUGUGUGACACAGGAACUUCACUGGCUGUGCUCGUGAGGUGAGCGUAGCAGAGCUCCUCUGGGGGAGUUCCCAGUCUGACUCUGGAGUCUCCUCCCACUAAGUGCAGCUGUUCAGAGGGAAUGACUGCUCUUACUGCACAUGAGCAGGGAACCUGCCUUAAUUACGGUUUCAUCUGAAUAAGUUGUCUGGUGUGUUAAG